UACGGAGGGUGCAAGCGUUAUCCGGAUUCACUGGGUUUAAAGGGUGCGUAGGUGGGUCUGUAAGUCAGUGGUGAAAUCUCCGGGCUUAACCCGGAAACUGCCAUUGAUACUAUAGGUCUUGAAUUAUCUGGAGGUAAGCGGAAUAUGUCAUGUAGCGGUGAAAUGCUUAGAUAUGACAUAGAACACCAAUUGCGAAGGCAGCUAACUACGCGAUAAUUGACGCUGAUGCACGAAAGCGUGGGGAUCAAACAGG
rnacentral:rRNA from 1 species